UACAGCCACAAAACUCAAAGUCGGAAUCUGU
rnacentral:piRNA from 1 species